UACGAAGGGGGCUAGCGUUGCUCGGAAUCACUGGGCGUAAAGCGCACGUAGGCGGAUUGCUAAGUCAGGGGUGAAAUCCUGGAGCUCAACUCCAGAACUGCCCCUGAUACUGGCGGUCUCGAGUCCGGGAGAGGUGAGUGGAACUGCGAGUGUAGAGGUGAAAUUCGUAGAUAUUCGCAAGAACACCAGUGGCGAAGGCGGCUCACUGGCCCGGUACUGACGCUGAGGUGCGAAAGCGUGGGGAGCAAACAGG
rnacentral:rRNA from 1 species